UCCGCCCCGGAGGUUGGAAGGUCCACCUCGGAGUCACACUCCGGACACAAGACGGUGACUGAAACGUGGUUGCCAUUGUACUCCUUUUUGGCUGAUAUUUGACACUCGGUUCCUUGGUCUACUACGGUCCAAUCACCGUGUGGAAGCGCCGUUACAGGCGUGGCCUGAGCUACCAUCCGAGGGGCUAUGUCGGGAGAGGAGAGGCCCAUCGACAGGGUACUGCGAGCCUCAACUAUCUUAAAACCGUCUGUCCCCAUCUACUGCAGGAUUACGCAGAAACGAAUGAACUUGGAGGAGGUACAUUUUGGAGCGGAUCUGCAUCAAGGAUCGGAUCGAGGUUUUGUUUUUACUAGCUUUAUUGUUACGAGAUGGUGAAUAUUGGUUCUGCGCUCCCCGAGUGCCCUUCUAGUUACAGAACUGUAAUACAUUUGCAGAGCAAACUAUCACUGAUUUUAGUUUUAUUUUCAUUAUAAAAUACCACCUCUACUAUAACAUGAGUGACAUGACCAUGCUAUUAAUCUAAUUGUCCAUGAGUCCUAAUGUUAAAUAUUUGAAAUGAUAUAUAAACCAUAUUUACCAUGUGUUUACCAUGUACCUUCAUAUUUAUUAAAAAAAAUAAAAAUAAUUAACUGUCAGUUCAUAUGUUUGUCCUUUACAUUUUUUGCAAAUUUUGGAAAAAAAUACAAACAAGAAUGAGAAGCUCCAAUGUGUGACACAGGGCCCUGGUUUGGUGGUGAAAACGCCUGGCGGAAACAGCCUAGCUCACAACCCCCUAUGUCGUAUGUAUUCCCCAUUCACGCAGGCUACUGAUUACUGCUGCUUUUGCAUUUUACACAUCCGUUUCCCCCUCUCUAUGGCACAUCCCCAUAUCGAUAAUACAUCUACAUAUACAGUCACCAGUAUCCUCGUAUUACGCAGAUUAAUAUGUCCAUUCUC